AUUGAACGCUGGCGGCAGGCCUAACACAUGCAAGUCGAGCGGAGCGGCGGACGGGUGAGUAAUGUCUAUGAAUAUGCCGGGUAGUGGGGGAGAACGUCAGGUAAAGGGCGCUAAUACCGCAUACUAUCAGAUGAGCCUAGGUGGGAUUAGCUAGUGGGUGGGGUAAAGGCCAACCAAGACGCCGACCCGGAACUGGUCUGAGAGGAUGAUCAGUCACACUGGAACUGAGACACGGUCCAGACUCCUACGGGAGGCAGCAGUGGGGAAUAUUGGGCAAGGGGCGAAAGCCUGAUCCAGCCAUGCCGCGUGUGUGAAGAAGGUCUUCGGAUUGUAAAGCACUUUAAGUUGGGAGGCGUUACCAACAGAAUAAGCACCGGCUAACUUCGUGCCAGCAGCCGCGGUAAUAC
rnacentral:rRNA from 1 species